AGUUGUGGGAUGAGUCUUAUUGCUUGUGUUCCGAUAUUUCCAUAUUCUCAUGGUGGAAUUUUCGUAUGAUCAGGGUUUCAUAGGAUAUCUGUUUGAAUAUUUCAUGUGCGUGACAUUCCUUCCAUUUUCUCCUUCGGUGUGAAGAAGCAGAAAUUAGAUUCCAGUCAUGUCCUCUUGGAAGAAAGUUUCAAAAACAAACCAACGCACUCACCGUGAAAGACAUCAGCCAGCAAGCCGAGCACAUCUGGGACUUCUUGAGAAAAAGAAAGAUUAUCGCCAAAGAGCGAAAGACCAUAAUGAAAAGCAAAGAACAUUGAAACUUUUAAAGAGACGCGCUUUAAACCGUAAUCCUGAUGAAUUCUACUUCCAUAUGAUUAAUUCUAGAGUAGAGGAUGGUGAACAUAAAGAGUUAGACAAAGAUGAUGAACAUACUCCUGAUCAGAUACAUCUCAUGCAGAGUCAAGACCUACGAUAUGUUUCAACAAAACGUACAAUGGAAUCAAGAAAGAUUAAUCGUCUUCAGUCAUAUUUACACUUAUUAGAUGCAGCUAAUCAGGUCAAGAAUAAGCAUAUAUUCUUUGUGGACACUGAAAAGGAAGCAAAACAGUUUGAUUUAACCAAACAACUUGAUACCCAUCCGGCCCUCUUGAAACGACGUAUCAAUCGACUUCGAACAAAUGCUCUCAAGAAUUUGACUUUACCCAAGGUGGAUGAAGUUGUCAUAGAAAAAUUGGCAGCAGAGAGGGACAAAGCGUACAUGGAAUUGCAGAAGAGAAUUGAGCGGGAAAGAGAAUUGACAAUUAUUCAACAAAAACUAGAGAUAAAAAGACAUCUUCUAAAUAAGAAAGAAAGUACACCAAAGAGAAUAAAGCCAAGCACCAAGGAUGCUCCACCAGUUUAUAUGUGGAAAUAUGAAAGGAAACGAUAAACAUUUUUAACAGUUUUAAUUGCAGUUGAAUAUUCUUAUAUUCUUUCAAGUUAAAAGCACAUAACUACCAGCUACACAUAUACAUACCACUGCAAUAGAAACCAGGAAGGCCAUUAAAAUAGCAAGGCACCUAUAGCACCGUCCAUCAUCAGCCACAUCAACCUCACUGAUCAACAAGAAAUUUCUGUUAAAAACACCCAUACAAACACAUCCAUCAAACCGCACACAAUGACCACUCCUGUACAUCAGUAUUAUAUACAGAAAACCACAUAUAACCUCAUCUUGCAUUUUGAAAGAUUUUAACAUUGUAAUACCAAAAUAUAGCACAUAUCUCGGUAUGAAAAAUUGGCCCAUUUUAUAGCAGUUCAUUUUAACAUUUACUCACAGUUAAGUGACCUUGUAAUUAUUGAUUUAUUUUGAAUCCCUGUAGUGAUGGUUCAUUAACAUCAAAACAUAGUGGUGCAGCAUAACCACAGUAAAUCCUGCCACUGCUGUCUGUUUUAUUUUAUUGUAAAGUCAUUGCUGUGUAAUGGUUCAUGUACAUUGUGAUAUAAGUACUUUUUGUAAAACAGGUGUUUGUAUUAUAGAUUAUAAGAAAUUUGGAAAUUUAGAGCGAUACCUGGCAUAACAACUGUGGCAUGUUCCCUCUGUUAUCACCUCUAGAUUUCAUUUUGUGAAUGCUAACAUGAUGCUUUCUUAAUAACUAGUGUAAAACAGAGUAUACAAAUAG